rnacentral:rRNA from 1 species
GAUGAACGCUGGCGGCGUGCCUAAUACAUGCAUGUCGAGCGAACAGACGAGGAGCUUGCUCCUCUGACGUUAGCGGCGGACGGGUGAGUAACACGUGGAUAACCUACCUAUAAGACCGGGAUAACUUCGGGAAACCGGAGCUAAUACCGGAUAAUAUAUUGAACCGCAUGGUUCAAUAGUGAAAGACGGUUUUGCUGUCACUUAUAGAUGGAUCCGCGCCGCAUUAGCUAGUUGGUAAGGUAACGGCUUACCAAGGCAACGAUGCGUAUCCGACCUGAGAGGUUGAUCGGCCCCACUGGAACUGAGACACGGUCCCGACUCCUGCGAGAGGCAGCAGUAGGGUAUCUUCCGCAAUGGGCGAGAGCCUGACGGAGCAACGCCGCGUGAGUGAUAAAGGUCUUCGGAUCGUAAAACUCUGUUAUUAGGGAAGAACAAAUGUGUAAGUAGCUAUGCACGUCUUGACGGUACCUAAUCAGAAAGCCACGGCUAACUACGUG